AGGGAAAGCAACAUCGACACUGCAGACCACAGGCAAACACAUCAUGAAAACAACACUGCGGCACACAAAAGAAACAAGGGUGACAGCCCCCCUUCAAAAGGUUGGUGUUGGAUGUUGAUUGACAGCACGAUGCAGAAACAGUCUACAUUUUCCACAACAAAGAAGAAAAGAUCUCAGGGGAUAUGCAGAGUGGUACUGAAACUGCAGGACCAUGGACAGCACCUCAGUCAGCCUCACCUUGUGCUGACUUUACAGGAAAGCUGUGUGAAACCUUGACACCAACCUGUUGGACCCCUAAGGUGGGGGAGUUGACUGUCCAGUGUUAUGUCUCUAUUUGUGCAUUUGUAUAUGAAAUGUUAGUUUUUUAUUGUAAUUGUGAAAAAGCCAAUAAACAAAGUUUAAAAAAAAAAAAGAGGCUUAGGAAUAAAU